rnacentral:rRNA from 1 species
AUUGAACGCUGGCGGCAGGCCUAACACAUGCAAGUCGAGCGGAUGACGGGAGCUUGCUCCUUGAUUCAGCGGCGGACGGGUGAGUAAUGCCUAGGAAUCUGCCUGGUAGUGGGGGACAACGUUUCGAAAGGAACGCUAAUACCGCAUACGUCCUACGGGAGAAAGCAGGGGACCUUCGGGCCUUGCGCUAUCAGAUGAGCCUAGGUCGGAUUAGCUAGUAGGUGAGGUAAUGGCUCACCUAGGCGACGAUCCGUAACUGGUCUGAGAGGAUGAUCAGUCACACUGGAACUGAGACACGGUCCAGACUCCUACGGGAGGCAGCAGUGGGGAAUAUUGGACAAUGGGCGAAAGCCUGAUCCAGCCAUGCCGCGUGUGUGAAGAAGGCCUUCGGGUUGUAAAGCACUUUCAGCGAGGAGGAAGGGUGGUGUGUUAAUAGCACAUCAUUUUGACGUUACUCGCAGAAGAAGCACCGGCUAACUCUGUGCCAGCCGCCGCGGUAACAC